GGGGGGGGGAAUUUGAAAUUUUAGCGGGCCGCAGAAUUCGCCCUUACCCGUCUGAACUUAAGCAUAUCAAUAAGCGGAGGAAAAGAAACCAACAGGGAUUGCCUUAGUAACUGCGAGUGAAGCGGCAAAAGCUCAAAUUUGAAAUCUGGCAGUAAUGUCCGAGCUGAGUCUUGAAGAAGGUAACUUUGGUGAUAGCUCUAGCAUGUGUCCCGGAGUGCAGGACGACCUACAUAGAGAGAGUCUCGUGUAUAUGAUGAGAUGACAUACUACUAUGUAAAGCGCUUUCGAAGAGUCGAGUUGUUUGGGAAUGCAGCUCUAAGUGGGUGGUAAAUUCCAUCUAAAGCUAAAUAUUGGCGAGAGACCGAUAGCGAACAAGUACAGUGAUGGAAAGAUGAAAAGAACUUUGAAAAGAGAGUGAAAAAGUACGUGAAAUUGUUGAAAGGGAAGGGCUUGAAAUCAGACUUGGUAUUCAAUGAUCAAUUUUCUUUCGGGGAGAUGCACUCGUUGUUUACUGGGCCAACAUCGAUUUAGACGGUGAGAUAAUGACAGUUGAAUGUGGCUUGCUUCGGUAAGUGUUAUAGCUUCUGUUGAUAUCAUCAGUUUAGAUCGAGGACUGCGCAUUUUUGCUAGGAUGUUGGCGUAAUGAUUUUAAGCCACCCGUCUUGAAACACGG
rnacentral:rRNA from 1 species